UUUUAAAGCUGGCGUCUUCGGCGCCCGCGUUGUAAUUUGGAGAGGCAUCUUCGGUUUGGGCGCCAGCCUAUGUUCCUUGGAACAGGACGUCACAGAGGGUGAGAAUCCCGUGCUUGGCUGGCUGUCCCUUGCCAUGUGAAGUGCCUUCGACGAGUCGAGUUGUUUGGGAAUGCAGCUCAAAAUGGGUGGUAAAUUCCAUCUAAAGCUAAAUAUUGGCGGGAGACCGAUAGCGCACAAGUAGAGUGAUCGAAAGAUGAAAAGCACUUUGAAAAUAGAGUUAAAAAGUACGUGAAAUUGUUGAAAGGGAAGCGCUUGAGACCAGACUCGGCCGGAGAUGAUCAGCCGUCCUUCUGGGCGGUGCACUUGUCUCCGGUCGGGCCAGCAUCGGUUGAGACGGCGGGAUAAAGGCUCGGGGAAUGUGGCUCCUUUCGGGGAGUGUUAUAGCCCCGGGCGCAAUGCCGCCAGCCUCGACCGAGGACCGCGCUUUUCGCUAGGAUGCUGGCGUAAUGGUCUUCAGCGACCCGUCUUGAAACACGGACCAAGGAGUCUAACAUCUAUGCGAGUGUUUGGGUGUCAAACCCUUGCGCGUAAUGAAAGUGAACGGAGGUGGGAACCCCCUCGCGGGGCGCACCAUCGACCGGUCCUGAUGUCUUCGGAUGGAUCUGAGUAGGAGCAUAGCUGUUGGGACCCGAAAGAUGGUGAACUAUGCCUGAAUAGGGUGAAGCCAGAGGAAACUCUGGUGGAGGCUCGCAGCGGUUCUGACGUGCAAAUCGAUCGUCAAAUUUGGG
rnacentral:rRNA from 1 species